GGCUUGAGCGCAAAAGACUUCAAUGAAUAAAGAGCAAGUCUUAUGCUGCCGUGCACUGGAUAAGAUAUGAACUGUGAACUUCCUGACAUGGACAAAGGACCUCCUGUCUCUGGUUUCUGUAAAGGUAGUCACAAGUCUAUGAAACCAUGUUUGCCAAGAGAGAAGACUGGCAAGGAUUAGAAGUGAGCUGCUGAAGUACUUCAACGACUGGGGUCAUUUCCCCACGCAGAAGCAGAUCGAUGAGUUCUGGGACCUGUUCCACAGUCGUGAGUACAGCCACCCUCAUCCUGGUCCCACCUUCC
rnacentral:sRNA from 1 species